rnacentral:sRNA from 1 species
AGUGGUUAAAAGCGACAGACUGUAAAUCUGUUGAAGUUUUUCUACGUAGGUUCGAAUCCUGCCU